CAUUUUUUUUUGUAAUUGCUUUGUGAACAAAGCAAUUACAAAAUCUUUUUUAUAUUUAACUUUUUGUGAAAGAAAAUCUGAAACUUACUAAAACUUUUGAGCGAUAAUAUGUAUGUUAUAUAUACUGCCUGUUAAUGAUUCAAAGAAUCUUGUAGUAGUUUUGACGUAUAUUAUCAGUCUGAUCGUCGAUAUAAACACCGACGAGAUACCAUUAAAGACAACAAUCCUUACGGGAGUUGGCAUCACUUAAAAUUUAAGUGAUUAAAGAGAUUCUAAAGUCAAUUUUACUGACAUUGCCAAUUUCAAACUAAUCUUGUAAUUAGCUUAAUAAAAAAUUGCAAUUAGCUUUAUAGAAAAAUGUAAACAUUUUUUACAAAAUUAAAGUACGUACAAAAAUGUAGGGAGAAAUGAUUAAGUUCAUAUAACAAAUAAAUAUUUUUAGUAUGUCACUAUCGAUAACUGCUGUCACUUUACGAUAAUAUUUUCUUAAUGCAAAAUUCACGAUAUAUGUAUAAAAUAAGAUAUAUAUGUACAAAACAACAUAUAUGUAUGUACGAAACAUGCUAUCCUAGAGAACCUCUGAGGGAGAAAGCGGCAAACUUGUCACGUGACCGCGUCUCUUCUGAUUCGAUGUGGUCGUUACGGAUUUCGCCUAAUCUGAAUAUUGAUGUAGACAGCUGUUUCCAGUGGAUCAUAUAAUAAAUACCGACCUGAGACAGAUUAAGUGUAUAGCGUAGGCUGCAAUACAUGGAGUAAGCGUAGAGGUUGUCACUAUAGGAAAGAAUAAUAAUGUGCCUUUAGAACAGCUAAGAAGCUUUUGGUAUAAGAGAAAAAUGUCUAUGAAAAUUUCAU